rnacentral:lncRNA from 1 species
GCAUAUUCACUAAGUGUGAACAUCUUUGGUGGGAGGUAAGACUCUGCUCAUCCUGAUGGGAGGAGUUAAAGGAAAUAGAAAAUUCAGUAUCAAGCUCUUCGUGCCAUUACUUGAUACAAUUUCCAAAGCUACAAACUUCCUUGGAGGUUGUGGCACCCUUCCCCCCGCCGCCAAUGACUCAUAUGGCACUUGCUCUGAGCUAUCUUGCAGGACACCAGAAGUCCCACUCUUGAUGAGCCUGGCUGAUGGGUCCCGGAUCUUCACUGGAACUUCCCAGGCACCACCACAACCAUCUCGGGCUAGAAGGGGAACGUCCCAUCACUUAGCCGUACUUGAUACAACUGUCCCCACUGUUGUCACUGGCAACUGGAUCAGCCUCUUCCUGCUGAUGGAGCGUCAUUAUCUGGCCCUGCUGCCAUGGAGACCCAAAGGAAUCAGGUGUGUUUUUCGCCUGCAUCACUCCCGCCUGGGGUGCGACAAGGACUCUUCUGCACGUCAUGCGUGGUGGACCUGUGGCGGGCUGCGGCCAGGCUCUUCCUGCGGGUGA